GCUUUGAGUUUCUAAAAAUUGCAGGAUCUACUCGCAGUCGAAAUCUUGGACUUCUUCAAUGUCCCAGCACAGGAUACACCCUUACCUAUCUAAAAGAUCCAUCUCCAACAAUUGGACAGGCUACAAUUGACAUACGCCCACUUCAACAGGACCUACCCAUUGAUUCAGUAUGGAAAUUUACACUGUCACCAUUUGAUACAUAGUUCAAAUAAAUUGCACUGUGGAGUUUUAAUCAAUACUUAACAGAUUUGUUGUUCUUAGGAAAGCUCGGGACAUGCCUCUGGUCCAGAAGGAGGUUCCCUUCUCUGAAAUGAAACUGCACCGAGCUAACUGGGAUGGCUAUGCACUUGUUAAAGAUAUAUAAGAAUUACAUAUUCAUUUUUCAAUAAGAAAUGUCUUUUUAGUUUUUGUGCACACAGAUGAGAGGAAAUGACUAUAACAUUUUCUGAACUUCAAGGACCCCCAUGCAGGAAACACAUAGAGAAGGAGAGGGAGACCGUGGUGAGGAGAAUGAUAGAGAGCCACCCACUGACAGGGACAGCGUUCCAGUGAGGCCUGAAACAUCUGUAGAGAGUGAAGUAGAACCAGUAGUGAUUGAAAACUGGAAGAUUAUUAAAGAACCAACUCUGGCUGCCCAAGUUUUCAAAGAUAAUCUACUAAGUGAACAUGCAACCGGGAAGCCUCUUAAACUGAAAAUGGAUGUAAGGGAGCGUGAGGAGGACAGGGAACGGGCACUUCUCUCAUUCUAUAAACAGCAACAGGAAUGGGCAUGUCCACUUCAUUGUACCCUUGAUGGGAGUGAUGCGGUACUUUCUGACAACAAUAAUAUCCAAACUCCAGUUUGGAUUCAGAAUGAAUCUUGGAGGAGUGGGCCAAACUCUGCUAUUUGAAGGUGAGCCUGACCAUCUCGUUCCAGCUGCAUCAGAGGUGCUUAUUGAGAGCAACCUCUUCCGGGUUGCAGGAAGGAUGAUAGCCCACUCCUUUUUGCAUGAUGGCCCCCAUGUCACCGGAUUAAGUCCUGCUGUUAUUCAUGUACUGUUCAAUGGGGACCCUGAAAUGGCAACAAUUGUUGUCGAGGACUGUCCUGAUCUGCACAUCAGGAGUAUUAUAACAAUGCUUGAACUUGAAGAACUUACUCAGGAACAGAAGGACACAGUGUCAGAUCUUUCCCUGUCUUGGGAUCUCCCAGCAGUCACUAAAACGAAUCAGAGGUGGCUACAUAACAAACUUCUAGUACACGCGGUGAGUUUCUCCUGCUGAUUUGGUGAAUUCUCCUUCUGAAAUUGAACUCAUCCCCCAUUUAUCCAUCAAUUAUGUUUCAAGCUAAGCAAUUCUAUCACGUCUGCAUUUCUUUUGCACAUCUGUAUUUCAAUCACAAACUAAUUGGAACUGCAGGCAGGAUUAUUACAGAACCUAAACACUCUUUAACUUGUAAUCUAGGCAGG